AUGCUACACACUUAUUUACCAUUUUAUACUUAAUAUGUAUUUUCUUCUCUCUGUUUUAAAUGUAUUCUAUUUCUUCUUCUCUCUGUUUCAGUUUUUUGUCUUCAAUGAAGCGAGCGCUUUGCUUCUUGCAUCACACUUUAAGCGAAGCGAAGGUCCUUGUCUCUGUUUUCUGGUUCGCGCUUUCAAAAGCACUGAUCAUAUAAAGGUAAAAGGCUAGCAUGUUGUACGAAAGGUUCAACCUCGUGAUUAUUUUGACGUGCAAAAAAAGGAUGAUGAGUUUGAGGAGUUAAAUAAUAAGAAUAUGAUGCUUUUAUUCUGAAUGUGUAUCUAUGAGUCUGAUUGUGCUUCUGACUAUUUGUACAGAUGGAAUUUACGUAGUGUUAGAUUGUUUCCCUGUAUAGCGUGUUUGUGUUCCUGUAUAUUCUCUGUAAUAGUCAUUGUAUAGUUCUUGAACUUGCUAAACUUCACCAAGUCUCUUUAAUAGUCAUUGUAUGGUUCUUGGGUUUAGCUUAAACAUAUUCGACUUCUUUUUGUUUUAGGUUGACAUGAAUCCAUCAAAAUUUCAAAACUCUGGAAUGGGAUCAACUUUCAAGAAUAAUAAGCAUGCAUACAUUCCACCUGGUGCCUUAGCAAGCAGACGAGGGAAAAGCUUAAAAGCUUUGGGCUCCAUUAGAUUAAGAGCCUGUUUGGAUUGGCUUAUUUUAGGUGCUUUUAAGCCAAAAUAGCUUUUAAGCACUUUUGUAGUGUUUGGGUAAAAUAAAAGUGCUUUUUAAGCACUUGUUUUUAAGCUAAAAUGACCAAAUUUAGCCAAAAGCCAUAAGCUAGAAUUCCUAACUUAUGGAUUUGGCUUAUAAGUCAAAAGUCAUAAGUCCAUCAAACGGGCUCUAAGUGUUGAUAGAUAACUCCAAUUGGCAAAAGUAAAAUAAUAAAGCAGUAGCUUUUUGUCGAAUGAGCUAGUACAGAAUAAUAGCCUUGUGCCCCCUGGUUUUGAUCUAAUGGAAGAUGAUGUUCCCCUCGCUCAAGAAGCUGAAGUGAUGCAAGACACUCAGAGAAGUGAAAUAAGUAUUUUAUUUUCUUAAGUUGUAUUUUUUUUUUUGUUAGUGGAUGCGAGCGAUUUUUAUGUUUGACAUUAUAAACUGAAAUUUGCAGGUCCAUGUGAAUGUGAAAAGGCAAAAAAAAGUGAGGAAAGAAGAGGUGUAAAAAUGUUGCAGGACUCAAAGCUGGAGAGAAGUACACUCUUGGGCGGAUAUCGAGGAAGAGUAGUUGGAAUAUAUGUGGGAAGCUACAACUAUAAGUUAAGCAUUACUUUCUUGAUUUAUUUUUCAAGCUUGAUGCAUGUCAACUAACUUGUAUGUGUUCUUUUGCGUGCCAUAAUAUUUACGCUCGAUGUAUUUAUGAACACUCCAUUAUUUUGAACUUUUUGGUUUUAACUUAUUGGUUUUGCUGUUGGUUGUAAACAGUCCCUGCAAGACACAAAUCUCAGUUUCAUAAAAUCUACCACAACUCUAUUAGUCACACAUAGAACUAGAAUAGUUAUCAAGUUCUUGCUAUGAGUUUCAAGAAUCAAGAUCCUCUUCGUUUUCCUAGAAAUAAUACCAUAGAUUUUGCAGGAUUAAUUUUGGUGUCAAUCCACUUAGCCUAUUUAAAUAAAGGCUCUCUCAAAAGAAACCAUAUGGUUCAUUUCUUUAUAGUGUUGCCCUCCUAUUUCAAUAUUAUCUGCCAAACAAAAGUGACAAAAUGAUGUUGUGAUGUUUUUAAUUUUGAAUUGUACUGUGCAAAAUGAAAAUAA